AGAGUUUGAUCAUGGCUCAGGAUGAACGCUGGCGGCGUGCCUAACACAUGCAAGUCGAACGGUAACAGGUCUAGUUUACUAGAUGCUGACGAGUGGCGGACGGCUGAGUAACACGUGGGAACGUACCCCAAAGUGAGGAAUAACUGCCCGAAAGGGUAGCUAAUGCCGCAUAUGGUCUUCGGAUUAAAGGAUUUAUCCGCUUUGGGAACGGCCUGCGUCGGAUUAGGUUGUUGGUGAGGUAAUGGCUCACCAAGCCGACGAUCCGUAGCUGGUCUGAGAGGAUGACCAGCCAGACUGGAACUGAGACACGGUCCAGACUCCUACGGGAGGCAGCA
rnacentral:rRNA from 1 species